CUCCGCCACGCGCGGCCUUCCGCUCUGUUAUAAAAGCUUUAAACUCAACGGACAUGCACGCAAAAGUGCAAAUGAUGGCCUGCCUUUGCUGCCUCCCAGCUGUAUGUCUGAUAGAGAAUGAGAAACCUACUGGUUUCAAGAAGGACUGGAGCUGUGCUACUUGAGAGUGGUGUUCUACUUCAUUUUCAAGCAAAAGCAAAUAUAACUUACCCAUCGGGAUGUAGGUGCUCUUGCUCCCAAGGACUCCAAGGGCAGCUCAGCUGCAUUCUGUAUGCCACCUCUGUGUGCCUAAUCAAUGAUUAAUUUGUACCUCUCAGUUACCUGCCUCAGAGCUCUGCGUGUAUUUCACCACGACCAGGUAAUAUAUGGUGCAAGUACUUCAUCAUGUCCUGUGUCACUGCAUCUUGGCUUUCAGUAAACCGAAUCUUUUCCUUCAUUGGUCUUAGAGCUAGCAUUUAAUUUCUGUGUGUGGAUAAUGUGGGUAGUAAUCCUUACAGGCAGUGCAUCCUUACAGUAAACAAAGGUAAGGAAAAAUGAGUGUGAAGGCUGAAGAAUAGAGUGGGGGAAUCUCCAGUUCAUCCCAGCAAACUGGUUAUUUCUGUACUGGCAAGCAAUCCACACAUUGUUUGUCAUUUCCCCCCCCCCCCCCCUUUCUUUCCUCCUCAGUUCAGCCCUUGCUGACAACACUGUAAAACACAUAACACACACGUAACAGGCUUAGAUAUCUACUUGCUCCUAUGCUGACAGCAAGCACUAAAGGCUCCAGUCUGCAGUGGACAGUCUGCCAUCGGCUUCAGUGAGAGCAGAAGUUGGCUUAAAAUAGGUGGAACACUAAUCUGUCUCUCUGCUCUCUAAAAAUGAACCAGCCCAAGGAAGGACUGAAACACAGGAAGCACAUAUGUAAUAUGGAGAAGCAAUUUUUGCUUUUGUUUGUAAUGCGAGUAAUCCCAUAGGGAGAGACUCUAUUCCCCCAGGCUUUUAGAUAGAGCCUUGUCAGGUAAUGCAUCCACAGUCUCUGAAGUCAUAGAUUUGGGAGGAGUGCACAGCUAAUGGCAUUCAGAACUGAAUUUCUCCCAUAACAGAAAUGCGGGGAAGCUCUUUCUCCUUUUACCAGUUAGCCUGUAUUUUACUAGUGGGGAAGUAGAAGCGGUUGGAAAAAGAUGAAAGCAAAGGCAUGAUGAAACUGCGGGAGUGAAGCAGUUUUUCCAUUUUCCUCUGGCCUCAGAGGGCACAGGGGAGGUGCGGGGGUGGCUGCUGCCGCAGCAGGCGCUCUGCGUGGGCGCAGCUGGGAGAGCCUUCCAGCAAGGUCAGUCCAUCCAUCCAUCUAUCCAUCCACAGUGGGUUCCUGCACUCCCACCACCCUGGCUUAGACGUGCUGCAUCCGCCCACCGGUACCCUCUGGGUUAGACAGGACCUUGGGCAAACACCCUCCUACGUCUUUCUUCCCUGCUGCCGCAAGCAAUCUGUCACUCCUCCCCUCAAACCACCCACCACCCACGCACAAAACCAUAACUGCAAGGAACACCCUCUCUCCUUCCCCCUUCGCUCCCCACCGGUCUGUUUUUCUCAGCAGAUGAAAAAUUCCUGGAGAUCUGGUGGUCGCCCCCGUGUUUGGCUUUUGAGACCCAAGGGGUUGGGUACCUUUUAGGCUCACAGCACGGCAAGCUCUGUUUGCAGAUGCAUUGCCAUAGUUUUGCAUUUGCUUGUAAUUACACAUGUGCAGGUGGGAAGGGGCUGUUUGCCUCCCACUGCCACGAUGUGCCUUCCUUCCUUCCACUCCCGCUCCCAGCCUCCCACGCAUCCAGCGAUGAGAAACGCUGCAGAAGACUGACCAGCCACCAGCCCGCCCACCCGAGGAGGAGGAGCAGCAGCAGCAGUACAUUUCUCUCUCUGCUUUUUAAACACAGUUAAAAAGAGCUGCAGCGUGGGUGGAAAUAGCUGUAGGGAGAGCAUGUGGGAAUGGGGCCAGGGGAAAGUGAAUUUUCUGUUGGUAGGACAGUUACUUCUAGUAGACUAGAAAAAAAAUACUUAAGGAUAACUUGCUGCCGAGUGUGUCUUUAGGCAUACAAUUAGUUCUUAGGGUUGAGUUUCCCUGGACUGGAAAGAAUGAAAUGGUAUUUAUUUUUCCCUGGUAGUCAAAGCGGCAGCCAGCGCUCCGCACUCAGAGAAGCUUGCCUAUAAGCCUCCAGGCGGCUGCAUAGCAAGGGAUAGUUGUGCUACAUCCUGUUGUGUCAUCCUGUCUCCUGUUCUGCUCCUGCUGUAUGUGCCUGAUUCGGUAAGAGUCAGAGCUGCUGCUCUGUAGGAAGAGGGGGGAAAAAAAAGCAUCUGGUUUUCACAGUGUGGAGCUGUAUUUCAUAAUACCACCCCUGCUGGACCUCUUGAAAUAGCAGUAUCCCAGAAUAUCAAUUAGUUCACUAUUUACUCUAAAUCUGUGCUCUGAUAAAUAAACCUGAAUUUAUUUUCUUAUGUUAACAGGAUGUUGUUUGAGAUACUUUGCUUGCAUUACAUGAAAAUAGCAGUGAAAGUAGUGUAGGAAAACACAAAUCAUAAGACUGGUGGCAUAGAGUGCAAAGCGGUACCACUGUUUCUUAGGAAAUAUCUCUGAUAGACUCAGAGAACUGAGGGUAUGCAAUGGCUUUCAGGUUCUGACUGAGUCUAGCCCACCUAUCGAGAAAGAAAGGUUUUCCACUGUGUAAUCCUAAUCAAAUUGUCCUAACUUGGGCUACCUGUAUGUGUUCUUUGCAAUCCAGAACUCUGUCCGUGUGUUUCUCAAGAUUCAGUCAGGCUUUCCAUUUGCAUUACUGAUGCCAAUUGUUAUAUCAGGAUGUGGUCUGUAGGUAUUCGAGGAGGUGCAGUAACAGCCAACUAAUGCAUUUUGGUAAACUGGAUUUUCGAAGUACAGGAGAUGCUGCAAAAAUCUGGAAUGGGGCAUGUAAUUUGCUCCUAGUAAGUAGAGGCCUUGAGCCCCAUAUUUGAGUGGUUUCUGCUUGAUGCAGUCACUUUCUCUGUGAAAAUCCAGGGUGUGCUAGAGUGCAAAGCCUUUUCAAAGGCACCCUACCUCCUAGACAAGACAGCAGCCUUCCAGAGCCAUUUCUAAGGCAAGGGCUGCACGGCUGUAAUGCGUAAGGGAACUGGGCUCUCUGACUUCAGUGCACCCCCCCCCCCCCGGCCCCAGCCCACCAUUUUCUGUAGCUCUGGAGAUUUUUACUCUGGCUUAGGAAUGGAAAGCGUAGGCAUAAUGCCUUCCGCUGGUGAGCUCAGAAACAAACCAAGUUAUGAUUAAGCCUAACGCAGAUCUGCGUGUGCCACAACAGAAAGAUCAGCUUUGGGAUUUAGGUUAGUGAGAUGAGAUGUGGGUCAACAGAGAUGUAACCUCAGUGGAACCAACUACCCCAAUCUUUUAAAAGCCUUAUUUCCACGAGACUUCAGUGGUUAAUAUUUUAAAUAUAUCCUUAUAUCUUUCCACUGAAUCUUAUGUAACUUGUAAUUAUAAUCUACUGGAAUUACAUACCCACAGUGAGGAGGAAAUAUAUUCCAACUAGUAAGUUCAUGUCACUUGGCUGAUUUACUUUAAAACAUUGCAUUAAUUCCUUUGUCAGUAGCAUUUGGAAGCAGUAUUGGCGUGCUUGUAAUACUAUCCUGCAUUUAGCAUUGGUUCAGUUAACUUUAAAGGUAGUGCUUUUCAUUCCUUUUGUAUCAAUGAAUGUACAUCAGAUUUUAAAUGCAGAUUAUACGCUUAUCUUGCCAGCUGCUGUUAGCCUGGAAUUUUCCUCGGGUAUCUAUUGUGGUGGAAUGAUAUUAUUUAAGAAGUUUAAAAAAAAAAAAAAGUCAUUCAGAAUAAUUUCAAGUCUAUGUUAGGAGCUCAGUUGUGUACAUAGCGCUGCUUUUGGCUUUCUGCUGUACCCUGGAACUGCCAUGCACUUUGGUCUUGCAGCAUCUGGUACCAAACUUUGCCUUUUCAGGGGUCAUAGGGAACCAGUCAUUACCUAAGCAUAAGAGUAUUUGACGUUAAUUAGCAGUGUUUUGACAGUCCAGAAUGGGUACAGAGAGCACUUCAGGUGUCUGUGUUAAGAGUCGGUUGCUGCUCUAAGUCCAGGUAAGCUUCCUCAGCAGGGCAGUUUGGUUGAGAAUGACAGCAUCUUAUUAGAUAGCUAUGCGUGUAUUUAAACCUUGGCACGUUACUCACCUGGCAUAGGUAUUAAUUUUCACUUGAAAAGUUCUACUUUUGGCUUAGAAAAUGUAUUACUAAGAAGAAAUGCUCAAACUUCUUUCCAUUUUCUUUGAUUCUGAAGCGCAGCUAAUGCUGUCCAUAAACUAAUGGCUCUGAAGAACAUUGCCCAGGGGAAGGUAUCUCACUUAAUGCCACAGAUGAUGCAAAGAACAGGGCAGAUCAGAUCAGAGAAAUUAAAAAUCAGGAGGAAAAUAGGUCAGGAGAAUAAAGAGAGGUCCUUAAGCUAUUUAAAAGUAAGCAUUUAUCAUUCGUUACUGCAGAUAUAUUCUGCUCUGAAGCGUAAAUUACCAGGCUCCAUUACGGUGUAACUGUGGGCAAAUGCUACCUUCAGUGCAACUGAGUUUAGCAGAUUCCUGUAAGUAGGUGUAAUUAUUAACCUCAUUGAAGGAGUAUGUAGCUAGUCAGAAGGGAAUGUGUUUGUUCGUUUGUUUCAAAUAAACGUUGUCAUUCUGGGUCAUCAGCUUCUUGCAGUGGAAGUGAUAGCGGGAGUGCUUGGCUCUCGCAGCCCCCUGCACUGAGUGCUCUUCUCCAGGGGAGUGCAGCUUGGUGAAGAAAGCAGUGGCAGCCCUGGCAGGGCACAGCAUGGAUCUGAAUUGUUCACAAGCUGUUAUGCAGUCAUUAGUUUCUCUUAGUCAUCUCAGUCUUCUUUCUGCCCCUUGGUUUUCACGAUGCCACGGCUUCUGUCUAGACCUUCCUUCUCUCUUCACUUGCUCCGUCUGUGACAGCAGCCAGCCUGGAAUGGAGUUUCAUGCUGCUCAGAGCAGUAGGUAGGAAUCUAUAAUUAUUUCAGAAAUAACAUGUUACACAGUGUGAUUUAGUCAUACUUUGACACACCUCUGUCUGCCAAGAAAUAGGCAGGCACUACCUUAUAAAGCUGUUGCUGAGAGCAAUCCUUCAGGCUCAGGGAGCACAAAGCUGCUUCAUUGUAUGGAUAGCUGCAGGAGUCAGCAGCAGGGUUUGGGGCUGGGGCCUGCAGAGACCUUAAAGCACGCAAAUCUGUUGCCUGAAUUAGAGGUUGUGCUCCUGCCUAGGGGAUGUAUCCCCACGCAGAAAUAGCUCAGGACAUAAGCUGGUAAAUUUAAGACUGUUUGGAAAGUGAUUUUAUUUCCAUUUCCAGCCUUUAAAAAGCAUCCUUGUCGCUCUUGUGAGCCUUUUGGAACAUUCACCAUCAACCAGUUCUUUCCUAGUAUGAGACAGCUGCAUUUUGAAGGUACAUCUGUCUACAGUCUUAAUUACAAUAGCAACAUACAAUUUUCAGGGUACAAACGGCUGUAUAAACACGUCCCUACUCAGCCACACUAUCCCUUCCUCAGGCAUAUUUCUCAUCUGAGAAUCUCCUAUACUUAUUUAUUCCUCUUAUCAUACAGAAGACUAAAAAGCCCGGUGUCCUUUAAGGUCCCCCAGUAUGCAGUGUCAGGAGGUCUGUGGCGUAUUUGCACAGGCAGUCAGCUUUAUUUCACAGUAACACAUUUAAUUUUGUUAGUUACUUAGUUACUUGUAAUAGGCAGUCAUAACACUCGUAGGUAGCAUCGUGACUCACUGUAAAAUGACUGCAACAAAGCGCUGUCAUUUUGUCGCUGCAUUAUAGCAGACAGAACCAGAUCUCUCAGGAGUGUGCUGAGUUAUUUCUCGAAGGCCAAGGGACACGUCCUCCCUGGGAGAGGUCACCUUGUCCUCAGUGCCUGGAAGCUUUUUGUCAAAGAUUCUGGUUACCUGGUGCUGUGUAACCUUCCCCGUUCUGUUUGCAGAUCGGCAGUAUAAUUCUUCACCCCUAUUGCAAAUACAGGAUGGGAGAGGUGUCUCAUGGGAAAAAUAAUAAGAAAUACAAAAUCAUAGCUCUGCCAUGUUUUGAAAGUGCUUUAGGUUGGUGAGUGGAUAAAUGAAAGCUCAACUCUGUGGAGAUGUAAGUGUAAUUUAAUCCACUUUCAGUCUCUGUCCUUGAGUUAGUGUUCAGCCUUCUGAGAGCCGUUUCUUCCUUUUGAGCCCUUUGUGUAUGAGCCGUGUGUGUUUGUUCAGCCACUGCUGUUGCAUGACCACCUCCACCCAGCCCUGAGUCCAAAGGUUCACCAGUUUCCUUUAGCUCAUAAAUCUGAAGGUGGGUGAGAUAAGGCAGGCUCUGCAAACUGCGCUCUGUUUUAAUGAUAUGGUUAUUGCUUAAGAUCCAGUGCUCUGCAAGUCAAAGAUACAAAAUGCAUUGCAAUUUAAAGUUCAAUUAUUCUGUUAUUACUGUUUGAAACUGUAGUUGGCACUCGUAUUAUUAAUUUAGAAAGUAAGGGAUGUAAGAGGUAGGCAGGCAGUCAUUAUAUCACGUACGUUUAUGUCCACACACAUUCUCACUUUCACCAAAGGAAAUUAGGGCUACCGAAGGCACAAGUAACUUUGGACUGAUGCUCUCCUGCCUGAGAUAGAGCUGAUAUACAGAAGGGGAAGCCAGAAUGAGCCAGCAGCAGCCGUCUUCUUCCAUCGCUCUGCAUUAGUGGACCUACAGUUGUAAGAAACACUGCUGUUGUAAGUCAGAAUGGCUUCAGAAACAUGCCUUCCUAACACAGUGCCUCUAUAAACUCUUGUUUAAGGCAAAGCACAAGAGUUAGUAGCAUUUCUCACAUUUUGGUGUAAUGAAUUCAGUCCAUGAAACCAUGGAAUGACAAAGGCAAUCUGCAAAAACAGGCAGCGUUUACCUGAAAUAUUUAAUUUUAAGAAUACACCAUGAUUCAAAAAACUGAAGGGAGUAUAAACUGGGGCACAAAAUGUUCAAGAACUGUUAAAUCACUGUCAUUCUAAUCUCUUUUAAUUGUUCACCAGAUAAUAGCUGUUGGAAACAGAAAGACAAAAACCAAGCAUGCUGAGUCAGAUGCGGGUCACUGUCUCCUGAAAUGCAGCUGUCAGGAGCUGGGUAAGAGUAGAGUAAUGUGUCUUCUGCUUUCAACUUGGCAUCAGUGAAGUUGAUAUGCUGUUUAGCAGCCUCCUGAUGAUUUCCCUUCCGUGCUCUUGUCCAGCCUGUCCCAGACCAUUUAGGAACUCCUAGCAGCAGUAAGCAGUCCCACAGCUCUAAUGCUUGUAGGAAGAAUGUGCCUGCUGUUUUUUUUUCUGAAGACAUGCCUCCUACUAGCUUCAUUUAAUGUUUCCUAAUCCAUGAAUGGGAAGAAAGAUAAACUGCUUUCUCCAACUCGUGGCUUUAUAAACCUGCCAUUUCCCUGCUAUGCUGUGCUGUUCUGUCUGGCAACUGCUCUUCCGGGCAGAGGAGUCAUUCCAGACAUUUGAGCAUCCUUCUCUAAUUCUUUAUAUGCUUUUGGAAAUGAGGAGUCUAUACUAUUGGUCCUUUUUCUCCUAGAAUCCACAUGGGUUCCAUGUCUUGAUCUCUCUAUGUAGGAAAAGAAAUAUCUAUACACUAUGCUAAAAUAGAAUUUCAUCUUACUUUGAAGUUCUUACUUUUGCAUUUUUUUUAAUUCUUCCUAAGUUCCUUGUCACCAUUUUUGGGCCUUCUGGUACUGAACAGUUAACAGCACACUGCAGCAACAUAACAAAUCUGUAGGGAGGUAGUUUGUAUAUUCCCAAAGUGGCUGCAAUUGUCCCACUGUGCAGGCAGCAAACCUGUUCUCAACUGUUAAUAGAAGGGGGGAAGAAAAGGGAGAAAGGGUUUAGUCAGUGAUUGUAACAGGCAUAGCUACUUAAAAUUCACACCUCAUGUGCUGAUUUAGGAAGUUGUAAGAUGCUGUAUGAGGGGAAAAAAAAAGGUGAGACGUUAAUACUGUUACAUAGAUAGUGUUUUUCAGCUUUUGUCACCCCCCCUGUAUUUUCUUCCCCCACCAAACGAUUUUGGAGGCAUAUCUUUGCAAUGACACAUCAAUGUUCUGUCUGCUUUGGGUUUAGAAAUAGUUGGGAUGUUAUAAAUAGAUCACAGUCUGCGAGAGACAAAGAGAAUGGAAGUAUUCUAAGAGGUUGGCUGGAAAUUUUCGGUGUGGAUUGUGAUUUCAGAUGCCUCUGAGAGUGGAAGCAUUGAGUCUGAAAUGCUCUAUUGAGUGCAGCAGAGGAACCUGGCCUGAUGUGCAGCAGUGGGGAGAGGCCAGGUGCAGUAAGGCAGCAUUUGUGCCUGUGGAGCCAAGCCCGGAGUGACAGCCAGCCUUGCCUCUGGGAGCUCACGGCUCAGAGAUGUGAGGAGGAAGCACUUUGCCCUUCCUCACUGUAGGAGGAAACACUGGAGUCAAUUGCUCUGUUACACACAGCAGAGUCACUAAAUCAGAAUGUACAGCUUUUGCCCUGUAACUGUUCUGGCACCACUCAUGCUGGUAGUGUUGAUCAAGCUUGCUCCCGUUUUCCACUUCUCCCCCAGAAGGCCUUAACAUCACCAGGGCACCUUGGCCCGGGGUGAAAACUUGUCCCAUCCACUGAGGUAGUAAAAAAGAAUAAUCAAGAGUGGGAAACAGUCUGAUAUUCUUCUGUUUCUGCUUGAGUACUCCUUGAGGAAGAUCCUUUAGAUCCUGCUGAUACUUCCAAGCUGACCGUGAGUACACAGAGCUGAGGUCCAGCUGCUUAUCCCUUGGUGGUUUCCACCAGAGAAACUAUGAGAAAGGUGAUUUGGUGACGGUUCUAAAGUAAGUCAUUCAGUGGAAGGGACUAACCUUCCCAGUGGCACCUUAAUGUUGUAAAGACAAGUUGCUUCCUGAAAGAAGGCUGGGUUUCACAGGAGCAGUGUCAUGUUGGCACAAGCUUUGUGUUCUCAGCCUCUGCCAAACGCAAUGGUGUAUCACCUGGUCUGUGUCCUUGAAGUGUGCCUCCAACUGCUGCUGGUUUUUGUAGAAGUUUAGGCCGAUACACAGUCUGCAGAAUCAGGUUCUUUAAACCUAAAUUAACAUUCUGUUGAAGACUAAACAUAUGUUGUUUUUCUUCACUGUCAACAAUUUAGUUUCCAGGUUUGGAAAAGAAACAUUGCUGGGGAGGAAUCCAAUGAAUUUAUUAAUGAGCUGGGUAAGUACGGAACUAUUAAUAUCUCCUGAGAUCUUGUUUGUGUUAUUUUUGUCCUCAGCUUCAGACUCUGAAAUAAACAGAUGUUCUGAAGCCUUCCACUGAGAGUACUACUGUGUGUUAGGUCCUAUUUUAAAUACAUUGUGAUUACCAGGAUGUUGUAGGAAACGGGUAAAUAGCUGAGUACGAUGCUUCUGAAACAGUUUGUGCCAUUACCUGAAAUCUUUAUUUCAGAUUGCAGUGAUGACACAAAUAAGAAAAUAUCUGAAGUGCUUCUUAUAUGUAACUAAUGAUUUUUGUUUCUAGUCAUAAAUCUGAGUAGAGAAAUUGAAACAUUACUUUAUUCUACAGUGUUGUCAGUGCACGUUCAAACUCCUGUUCAUCAUUUUGUGGCAUGACUGACAAAACAGCCUGCCUGUCCUGGGCACAUACUGAACAGAUGAGUGCUUCCAUUCGUCUAAGAAGGUCUCUAUUUAUUUCUCAGUCUAUUCUGAUCAGAGAUACCACUUUGAGUCUCAAUGUAACUGACAUCUUUGGCAAUCCCACCGACACUGAAAUACUGAGGUCCUUUGCUCUCUAUCAUCUCAAGAAUUUGAGAAGGGCAUCAGAAAAUGGCUUGUUGUUUUCACAUGUUGGGAAGGGGAAGAAAUAUUUGACCUUGAAACUGAGUUCAACUGUCUGUAUCACUUAGAUGCUGCUCUAUCUUAACCCAGAUGUUAAAGGAGACUAACCAAUCACUUAUGCUAGUGGUCCUGAGGUGAAAUACAAAACAAAAGAUCCAUCUGCUUAUUGCAGGAAGAGGUCAGGCUGCUUGGCUAACACUUAACUCCCGUUUGUAUUCAGUCAUUACUGGUCCUAUUUAUAAUGAGGGAAAUUCAGCUCUAGAGAGAGCUGGAUAUGAGGCCUCUGAAGUCAGUGGUGAGCCUUACCCUGAGUCUGAUGCCUCAGCACCAAAGGUAAUUUUCCUGCUUGUGCCACUUAAGUGCCUUUCGUCACAAAUCACAUUUUGCACAUACUGAGUAAAAGUGGGUGCUUUGAUGCUUUAUGGUUUAUGAAGCUAUGUGGUAGAUGACAUUAAUUUAAUCCAGGAGUGAAUCUUAUAUAGCUGUGCUGAAUUAAAAAAUAACAAAACGACAACCAUUUCAGUUCAAAACUGCUUUGACCUAUUGCCAUGAAAAUGUACAGAGGAGAUGGGUGCACGUAUCAUAGUUUUAGUUUUCCUUUCUGUCCCAGUCACUUCGCGUUCUUAUUCUAGCAUUCCUACUUUUUGUUAGAAUACACCAUGUGUAUAUGUGAGCUGUUUGCUUAAGUUUUGCAGUCUUUUCUGGGGACUCCGUUACAAGAGGAGGUCUCAGCAGAUCCAUUGAAAAGCUCUGACCAGCUGAGCCUCCCUCCAUACUGACAGGCCCAUGCAGAACCCGCUGCAGGUUGUCAGUAGCUAAAUGGCACAAACCUCCCUGGCUCCUGCAGGGAACAUAGCAAAGGCAGCAGGGCUUUGUUCACUCCACAGUCUGUAGCAGUGAAGCUCACAACAGGAUCAAGGUCAUAAUAUUUUUAGCCUGUAUUCAAUGGCAUUAAUGUUAGCAACACGUAAACAAUUUGCUCUGCAGACAGCAAGAUCUAAUGAAGCUUGAUUUCCUGUGGGUUUAUGCAUUUCAGUUUUACAACCCGCUUUCCUUACCUUUUCUCCACCGCUUUAAAAGACUCAGAUGCUCUUUCUGUUUCAUCCAAGUUCCCCCUCUGCUCCCUCCCCUUCUCCAAGGGUGAUCUCAGCUUCUGCCUGGGAGUCACUGGCCAAGGGGAGCCCAUGGAGGAGUUCAAGUUGUGGGCUUCCCUCCCACAGAGUGCACUCUUGCCUUUCUUUCCUUGCCAGCUGCUGGUGUUCUCACAGCCUUGAAGGAAUUUAAUAUUUGCAAGACUGCUGCCACGCACUGAAUUUGAUACUUGCCAGUGGGUUCAAACGUUCAUGGUUCAUGAGGUGAGGAAAGGUUGACUGCUCUAUAGGCAGAUACUGCACAAACAGAAAUCUGGUUUUGAGAGUGGGAAAGGCACAUGAAAAAAAGCACAUCUGUUUCUUCAGCUGGCAUUUGCUUUUGUGCAUUGCUUUGCCUUCUGAUUGUUAAUGCAUGCAGUACAUCCAAAGGUGUUAGAUGAAAACCCAGAGGAAGGGGAUCCCCUGCUUCCCUGCCAAACCAGACAGGCCACGGUGAUGGCAGCUCCUCAUCUUACCAGCUGUGAACACGCUGUGCUCAAUUACCAUGAGCAGUGCUCGUAGCUGCGCAUGAUUUGCUGAUUCACUCUAGGACUGUUUCUCAGUUCUUCUGUCAGCAUUUCUCUUUGCUGAUAAUAUGUACUGGUGAUAGAGCUGCUGGCUGUCUCUGAAACAGGAGGGAAAAAGCCACUUGGUUCCCCAUCGUGACUUGACUUCUGCCCAGAUUACCUGGGAAUACCCACAAACUGUGUGUGAUGAAAAGCUUCCUAGAGCAAGAAACCACUGCUGUAGUCACCCCUAAUGCACUGCACAGCAUGGAAUCAAAGAAUCCUUAGAGUUGGAAGGGACUUCUGAAGGCAGCUAGUUCAGCUGCCCUGCAAUGAACAGAGACACCAUGGCUCGAUCAGGUUGCCCAGGGCCUGAUCUAGCCUCACAUCAAGUGAUUUUUUUCUUUUCUUGGCCCGCAGUGAAAAGCUGCUGAAGGACAGCUGGAUAUUUGGUGCCAACUGGAAAUUCCUGAUUUCAGAGAACAGCCCUGGUUCAGGAAAGAAACCAGCCAAGAAGCUCUACUAUAAAUUAAAAUGUGAGCUCCUAGAAACCAUUUCCUGAUGGGACUCAGGUACUUUACCUUUGCCAUUCCUGUAAAACAUCAGCUGCAUACAUCAGACUGAUGGCGUCAGGUGGUUUUCCAUAAAAAUCCUGUCUGUGCUGUGCUUCAUUUGCUUUAUUUUUGCUCUAACCCAAGAAACAAGUCAGCAGCUUCAAGAGUCAGCUGACACUGAGUCCUUUCCCAGCAAAGCCUACUGUUAACCAUGUGCAGCUCCAGCCAUAUUUGUAGGUAAUUUCAUUCUGUUUUUUUUUUUUUAUAAUAACUACUUUGCUUUACUUUUUCCAGUUUAAUUGGGAUUUUAUUUCAUAGCAUUAGUUUUUGGCCUUGUAAAACAAUGAGGUAUUUGAAACUAUUUAGGGGCAAGUAUUCUCACUGUGAUGGGGCACGUGGAUUGAAAUGCACAGCAAUUCUCUGUUUCACUGAGAAGGCGUGGGUUCAUAACACAGAGUUUACUAGAUGGGUGUGUCCACUGGUACAGUACCUAUUUGUUGGUAUUUGCUAUAGAAGAACUUUGGCUGGCUGCUGUUCUUUUCAUUCUGCAGCACGUUUCUAAACAACAUUCCACGGUGUUUUAGAGCUUGACUAAGAGGUCUCCUGGGGAAAAAUAAGAUCACCUUUUAACUGAUUUCAGCACAGCUGGCUUCUCUUUAAUCCUACAAUGAUGUUGUACCUCAUACUAGCAAGUGUUUUAAUGGGAAAGUUUGUACUUCAUGUGACUUAAAACCGUAUUUCCUCUCCUCUGAACUCUCUUUGGCUGGAAAUGCAUAGGCUUUCGAGAAAAUAAGUUAGGUGCAUUUUUGUGCAAUGCAGCAGUUUCUCCACUUUCGCUAACCCUCAUUUUUGUAGCUGAUAGAACAGAGCAGGGACCGUCUGAGCACGUGCCGUAAUCCCCAACGGGCUGCAGUCCAGAUAUUCACGCAGCCCCGCUGAAAAGCAUCACCACGCCGAGCCCCCUUACGCUCAGCUCCGCUCGUGCGUCCCCGGCGCGGAGGCGGUGCCGGGCGGCUCCUCCCUUCCG
ensembl:lncRNA